rnacentral:rRNA from 1 species
UACAGAGGGGGCAAGCGUUGUUCGGAAUUACUGGGCGUAAAGGGCGCGUAGGCGGCCCGCUAAGUCGAACGUGAAAUCCCCGGGCUCAACCCGGGAACUGCGUCCGAUACUGGCAGGCCUGAAUCCGGGAGAGGGAUGCGGAAUUCCAGGUGUAGCGGUGAAAUGCGUAGAUAUCUGGAGGAACACCGGUGGCGAAGGCGGCAUCCUGGACCGGUAUUGACGCUGAGGCGCGAAAGCGUGGGGAGCAAACAGG